rnacentral:lncRNA from 1 species
GUUUUUCGUUUUUGUUUUAGUCUAAGUAGUAAACGUUCACUCGUUAGAUCAUUUUAACGAACGGUUUUUGUUCGUUUAGUUCUGUUAACGAACGUUCGUUCCGUAGAUUUUUCUUUUUCUGUUUAUUUUCGUCUAGGGACCUAUGCGUAGUUACUUUUAUCGCAGAUUAGUCCCUGAUCUUCAAACCCUUGCAACUUUUUGCUCGUUUAUCCAAAUCCAGUGAAACAACCGCCAGAAUCUUCGUCUUGUUCCCCUCUAUCCAGAUAAUCAACUUGAAUCUGAUUUUGAAAAUUUUAAAUUUGGUUUCAAGCAGAUUUGUUUUCGAAUUUGUUUAUUGUAGUUUGAGUUUCGUAACUCCGAUUCGAUUGAUUCUUUUUGCAAAUCGAAGCUCUUCACUUGUAAUUCUGUUUAGAUCUUUUCUUUUGGUUCUAACCUUGCAUCUUAUGCUUCAGUGCUUAUGUAUGCAAUUGUUUGUUCACGAUAGAGUUUCCGGAGUGCGAGGCUUGCUACUACGAAUCUCUAGGGUUUUCCGAUCGUCAGCAAGGCAAGUAACACUUUGAUCAUAUCCCUUUAUUACCCAGUUUUUAUGCAUUAGUUCCAACCCUCAAACAUUGCAUGAGUAGGAUUGUAACAUGUGGGUUUGGGAAGUAGCUGAUGAGGUAGAACCUAUUGUCUUAUAUUCAAACCUUGGGAGUUGCCACAUUAUGCUUAUACUGCUAUGCUAUGCUCGUAGACGUGGAUUGGUUUGAGUGAUUCAUGAUAGAUGUGAGAGUUAUUAUUAAUUAAUUGUUAACUUAAGGUGGCUAUUUUAAUAUACAUCUGGGUGGAUUGGUUGCGGGCACCUGGAGAAUCCAGUGUUGUCUUAGGGGAUCCCGGAGUACCCGUGUGAUCAUCCUAUGGUUUGCCACCCAGGCUUAAAGGGAUCAUUGAAAGACUGUGUCUCGAUCAUCCAUUUCUCAAACAUCAUGUAGUGCAAGAAAUUCAAUGGAUGAGAUCGAGUCUUGUGGGGAAAAGUGUGGAAACCUCUGCAGAGUGUAUAAACUAAUCAUGGUUAGCCGUGUCCCCGGUUAUGGACAUCUUGAGUAUCUGGUACUUGAAUUAUUGAUUUGAUCUCAUCACUUUACUUAAUGAAUUUGUUGGGUUAAAAAUUACUAUUUUGGGAUUGAGUUGGAGGAACCUUCUCAAUAAUUUCAACCAACUUUGUAGUUAAAUAAAAUAUAUUCCUUUGUUGUAGGAAAAAACUAGCUUUAUGCAAAUGAUAACCGUAGAGCCUCCACCAGUCGUAUAUGCAUGUAGUGAUAGCUGUUAUUCUGUUCACUGCUCUAUAGUGUUAUCUUGCCAGCAUAUUCCAUGUGCUGACCUACACAGGCUGCAACGUAUUAUGUUGCAGAAUUUUCAGAUGAAGAGUAAGGUGCACUAGGUCGUUGUCGUGCACUCAGUAUUGUCGUGGAGUUGGAUGGACUCAUUUAUCUUCGAAGCUUCCACAGUUAUCUUAUUUAGAUGGCCUUCAGCCAUGUUAUUGUAAUAAGUUCUCUUUUGAGACAUUCGAUGUAAUAAGUGUGUGAUUGAACUCUGAAAUAAAUCCUCGAGUACUGUGUGUGUUAGCAAUACCGAUCCAGGGAUGACACUUAAGCACAGAGACUUAACCGUCUAAGGUCGGGUCGCUACAAGAUGGUAUCAGAGCACACACUGUCUGUAGGACGUGACCACUAGGAUAAGCCACAUGAUACUCUUCUCUACUCAUUUCUGACUCUUCUCCAUUCUCCACUCUAUAGAUGGCGGACCCAAGGAACAAGUUCACUCAACCGGAUGAUGAAACACCUUUUGGACGACACUUGAAGGAAGUCACUAGGUACCUGAGCAUCGGAAUACCAAGCUUCACCGGGACCUACACCGCCACUCUACCAGAAGAAGAGCGCUGGACGAUUCGAUUUCAUGUUCCAGGAAGGACGUUCGCACCAGUUACUGAGCCCAUAUAGAGUUUUCCUUUGAUGCACCAACCUGGAGUCUAGGAAAGAGCAUGGCCGCCCACAUCGCCAUGCGACGCAUCGGCGAGGUAUACAACAAGGAUCUUAAGGACACCAUCUACCACAUAUGUGGACGCCGAGAUGAGCAAUGGGAGAUGAUUUGCACCAGGAAGGACAAAUCCAUUGCAGCCUACAUCCAGGAGUUGAAUCAGCACAUUCGUCAUCAGGAGAACCAGAUGUGCGCCAACAUGAUAGACAUGAAGAAGGUGAUGACCAGGAACAUGGAGCGAGAAGAGGAACUCAAGUCUACACGCGAUGGAUAUGAAGAGGAAAUUGCAGUACUACUGGAGAAGAAUGAAGACCUGGAGAAGAAGAAGCUAGGAAUAUUCAUGGGAGAUCCCGAACCUGAGGAAGUCUACAUCAUAAUCGACGACACCGACUCGACUCCGACCCCGAUAGUGAUGAUGAUUAUGAAGACGAAGCUGGAUCAGAUAUCAUGGAGUCUUCCACCGAUCAAAAUUUCUAGUCGACCACCAUAUUAUCAGUAGUAUUCCCCCAUGUAUAUAAUAAUAGUCCGAGCAUUUUGUAAUGGUAGUUUAGAUCGAUUGUAUGAUCUUGUUUGAAUUGAGUGCUGUGAAAUGAAUGUGUUUGUCUCAUGUGCAUAUGGGCAGUGAUUUCCCUUUAGACCUCACUCUAUUAUGUUCUCACCCCUCUAAACCUAUCAGAUGCCUCCGAGACGUGACCCCGGAUUUGUCUUCCCACCGGAGCUCACUCAGUUGAUCCAACAGCAGAAUGCCUUGAUGCAGUUGCUAGUCCAGAACCAAGGCAAAAACAACAACAACAACAACAACCCACCGCCGCCACCUCCAGUGGACAACUUAGCCCGUUUUCUGAGGCUGAAUCCGCCGGUGUUCUCUAGUAGCACUGAGCUGAUUGUUGCUGAUGACUGGAUCCACAGGAUUGGAAGGGAGCUGACCACCGCAGGUUGCACAGAUGCUGAGAAGGUAUGCUUUGCCGCACAUCAACUGGAUGGACCCGCAGCCUCAUGGUGGGAGAACUACACUGCCACUUUCCCCGUGGCCAAUGUCACUUGGGAUCAGUUUCAGCAAGCAUUCCGCACUGCACAUGUUAUAGCUGGAGCUAUGAGUAUGAAGAAGCGUGAGUUUCGCAACUUACGCCAGGGAAAUCGUACUGUGGCGCAAUACAUGGAUGAGUUCAGCAAGUUAGCCCGUUAUGCCCCAGAUGAUGUGGUCACAGAUGCUGCAAAGCAUGAGAAGUUUAUGGAGGGGCUUAAUGAUGAGCUGAGUAUGCAGUUGAUGGUGGCAACAUUCACUAACUAUCAGGAGCUGGUAGACAGGGCUCUCAUGAUUGAAGGCAAGCAGCAGUAGAUUGAGAACCGCAAACGAAAGUAUGGACAAGGGAAGUACAACUCUGGAGCUCAGCAGAAGCCUCAUUUUACCCCAAACUCGGGAGGGCAUACCCAUCAUAACCAUGGAGGCCACACUCACAAUGGAGGAAUCCCACAUAACCACAGUGGCCCUAAGAAUGGAAAUGGGAAUGGAGGAAGCAGCAGUCUGAGCCGUUUCAACCCCACUACACCCGCCAAGAAGGAUCUAAGUCACAUUACUUGUUUCAAGUGCGGGAAGACUGGACACUAUGCCAUUGAGUGUCCUGAAGCAAAGAAUGGAAACGACAAUGGAAGAUCAGGAAAGAAGCCAAAUCCCUUCACCAGAGGUCAGGUGAACCACAUCAACGUGGAGGAAGUCGAAGAGCAGCCCGAUGCAGUGAUUGGUAAGUUUUUAAUUAAUUCAUUUACUGCUCUUGUUCUUUUUGACACUGGUGCAUCGCAUUCAUACAUCUCAAAGGGAUUUGUGGACAAGUUUAAGUUGCCAACCUUAGCCCUUAGGUCACCCAUGUUAGUAAGCUCGCCAGGAGCGGAGUAUAUGGCCAGCCGAUGGUGUGAUCGGUUACCUUUAACCAUUGGUAGCCACGUUUUCCCCUCAGACUUAAUAAUUUUGGAGUCACAAGGAUUGGAUAUAAUACUAGGCAUGGAUUGGCUAUCGAAGUAUGGAGGAAACAUCGACUAUGCUAGUAAGUCGAUACUACUCACCACCCCUGAAGGAAAGAGGAUCAAGUAUGUAUCCAGACAUGCGCCAAGGAGGACUCAAGUAAAUUCCCUCUCGGGAGUUGUUCAGGAGGAAGUGCCAGUUGUAAAGGAUUACCCUGAUGUUUUUCCAGAGGAAUUACCAGGCAUGCCACUAGAUCGAGAUAUAGAAUUUUUGAUAGAGUUGUUACCAGGCACCAGACCAAUAUCGAAGAGACCGUAUCGGAUGCCCGCGAAUGAUCUGGAAGAGAUUAAGAAGCAUAUUAAGGAGUUAUUGGAGAAAGGUUAUAUUCGACCAAGUUCAUCACCGUGGGGAGCUCCAGGUCUCUUAGUUGAGAAGAAGGAUGGAUCUUUGAGAAUGGUUGUUGAUUAUCGUGCAUUGCAUGAGGUAACGAUCAAGAACAAGUACCCACUACCGAUGAUCAAUGAUUUGUUUGACCAGCUGCAGGGAGCUAAAGUAUUCUCCAAGAUCGAUCUUCGAUCAGGAUACCACCAGCUAAAGAUCCGAGAACAGGAUAUACCUAAGACAACUUUUACCACAAGGUACAUGCUAUAUGAGUACACGGUCAUGUCUUUUGGAUUGACUAACGCCCCUGCCUAUUUCAUGAGUAUGAUGAAUAAGGUGUUCAUGGAGUUCUUGGAUAAGUUUGUUGUGGUGUUCAUUGAUGAUAUAUUAGUAUUCUCGAAGAAUGAAGAGGAACACAAGGAACAUUUGCGAUUAGUUCUCGAGAAGCUCAGAGAACAUCAGUUAUAUGCCAAAUUCAGCAAAUGCGGGUUUUGAAGGAAGUUGGAUUUAUUGGACAUGUUAUAUCAGGAGAAGGUAUAGCAGUAGACCCUACCAAGGUUCAGUCUGUUACUGAGUGGUUGGCACCCACCUUAGUUGGUGAGAUCCGUAGUUUUCUUGGACUCGCAGGAUAUUAUAGGAGAUUCAUUGAGAAUUUUUCCAAGAUUGCGAAGCCCAUGACAGAGUUGUUGAAGAAAGACACCAAGUUCAAAUGGACCAAAGAAUGUGAGGCCAGUUUUCAGGAGUUGAAGAAACGUUUAAUUACGCAAGGACUUCCAAGUAUAUUGCGACGCUUCUCGCCUGGGACUUGGAGGUGUACUUAUGCAAGAUGGAAGAGUUGUUUCAUAUGCCUCACGUCAGCUUCGACCUCAUGAGUUGAAUUAUGCCACGCAUGAUUUGGAGUUGGCAGCCGUAGUGCAUGCACUCAAGACCUGGAGACAUUUUCUUAUUGGCAACCGUUGUGAUGUUUACACGGAUCAUAAGAGCUUGAAGUAUAUCUUCACGCAGAAGGAGUUGAAUCUCAGGUAAAGGAGAUGGUUGGAGCUCAUAAAGGAUUAUGAUACGAAGCUGCAUUAUCAUCCACGAAAGGCCAAUGUUGUAGCAGACGCCUUAAGCCGCAAGAGUUAUGUAAAUACUCUCGUAACCGGAGGAUUACCCCAGGAGUUAGCCGAAGAUCUCAGGGAACUUCGUUUGGAGAUAGUUCCUAGAGGUUUUGUUGCAGCAUUGGAGGUUCGGUCCACCCUGUUGGGAAAGAUUUGAGAAGUCCAGAAGUCUGAUAAGGAGAUUUUGGAGAUAAAGGAGAAGAUGAGUAGAGGAAAGGCCAAAGGUUUUCGUGAAGACGAACACGAAACUUUAUGGUUUGAGGAUCAUAUUUAUGUGCCCAAUGACCCAGAGAUCAGGAAGUUAAUACUUCAGGAAGCUCAUGACUCGCCAUACUCGUUUCACCUCGAAAACACUAAUAUGUAUUUGGAUUUGAAGGAACGUUUCUGGUGGACAGGUAUGAAGAAGGAUAUUGCCGAGUAUGUAGCAGUAUGUGAUGUAUGUCAGAGAGUUAAGGCAGAACACCAGAAGCCAGCAGGAUUACUACAUCCUAUUCCGAUACCCGAAUGGAAGUGGGAUAAACUUGGCAUGGGUUUCAUCACCGGAUUACCCAGGACACGAUCAGGUUAUGAUUCCAUCUGGGUAGUAGUUGAUCGCUUGACCAAAGUGGCUCACUUUAUCCCUGUGAAAACCACUUAUACAAGCGCGAAGUUGGCCAAGAUAUAUAUGACCAGGAUCGUAUGUCUGCAUGGAGUUCCGAGGACCAUCGUAUCAGAUAGAGGAACACAGUUUACUUCAAAUUUUUGGAAUCAGUUGCACCAGACUUUGGGUACCAGGCUAGAGUUCAGUACAGCCUUUCAUCCGCAGACAGAUGGACAGACCGAGAGAGUCAAUCAGAUUCUGGAAGACAUGUUGAGAGCUUGUGCGCUAGAUUAUGGAUCUAGUUGGGAUGAUAAUUUGCCUUACGCAGAGUUCUCUUACAACAACAACUACCAAGCUAGUUUGAAGAUGGCCCCUUUUGAAGCCUUAUAUGGAAGGAGGUGCAGGACACCAUUGAUGUGGGAUGAAGUUGGAGACCGUCAGUUGUUCAGACCAGAUUUAAUCAAAGAGUCUGAAGAGAAGGUUAAGUUGAUUCAUGAUAGACUGAAGGUAGCUCAGUCCAGGCAGAAGAGUUAUGCCGAUACUAAACGCAAGGAGGUAACCUAUGAAAUCGGAGACAGAGCAUAUCUCCGUGUGUCACCACUGCGAGGAGUUAAACGAUUUGGAGUCAAAGGAAAGUUAGCCCCAAGAUUUGUAGGACCAUACCGAGUUCUGGAACGUAUGGGAGAAGUGGCCUACAAGUUGGAGUUACCCGAAGGAUUGUCAGGAGUUCAUGAUGUGUUUCACGUUUCCCAGUUGAAGAAGUGUCAUGCAGAGAUGGCCGAUAUUCCUCUGAGAGAUACAGUGCCCCUGGAAGCAAUUCAGUUGGAGAGUGACCUAACCUACGAGGAGAAACGCAUCAAGAUUCUCGAGUUUGCCAGCCGAGUUACAUGCAGCAAGGUUAUCAAGUUUUUGCAAAUUUCAGUGGAGCCACCAUACCGAGGAGGAAGCCAUGUGGGAGCGAGAAGAAGACCUACGGAAAGACCACCCACACCUAUUUUCUAGCCAACCCGAAUCUCGAGGGCGAGAUUCAUCUUAAGGGGGGUAGGUUUGUAACAUCCCAAUUUUCAAUUUGGAUGUUAUACAUAGAUCAUCAGAUGCAUAUCAUAUUUUAUUUGCAUUUUGGUUGUGAUCCUACAAAUCUUAAGCAACUCAAGGACCCAAGGAGAGAGUUGGAGGUUUCACUAAAUUUUCAUAUUUGAAUUUAAUUCAAAUUUGAAAAGAGGAUCAAUUUGAUUUUAAUAGUUUCUCUCCAAUUAUUUCCAACAAUAAAAAUAAAUGAGAGAAGAUAAUAUGACUUCUUCAACAGAAGAGAAAUAUUGGAGAAGAAAUUUUAAAAUCAAAUUAUUAUUUUAUUUGUAUUUUAUUUGCUAUUUUAUUUGAAUUAGGAAAAAAAUGCAUUUUUGAAAAAUGCAUUUUAACCCAGAAAAAUGUUCACUUUGUCCUAAAUAUUAGUAGAGGACAGUGAAAAUUAUCUCUGGAAUUUUAGGAUUUUUAUUUUAUUUUAUUUGGAUUUUUCUUCGCGGCGAGAUUAUUUAAAAGAAACUCCGGACCGAACUGGGCCGAAGCCGAGCAGAGCGCCGCCGCCUGUUCCUCCCGUGCGGAUGCCGGACUCCGGUGAGGAGGAGUCCGGAUCGGUCUCCCCGCGCCCCAUCGCGCAAGCCGAGGACCCCUCAGGGCCUCCUUAUAAGCCUCGCUGCCCCGCCCUCUUCUCCUAAUCACCCGCACCACCGCCGCCCCGCAGCCGAGUCGCGCCGCCGCCGCCCCGCACCGCCACCCGCCUCGCCGACGCCCCUCACCGGAGCCGCCGGAUCUCGCUGCCGACGCCGUUGGCCGGUAAGAACCGGUCGGUUCUUUCGUUUUUUUUUUGAUUUGUCGGUUUAGAUUUUAGAUCAGUUUUUUGUUUUUGUUCUAGUCUAAGUAGUAAACGUUCACUGGUUAGAUCGUUUUAAUGAACGGUUUUCGUUCGUUUAGUUCUGUUAACGAACGUUUGUUCCGUAGAUUUUUAUUUUUUUGUUUAUUUUCGUCUAGGGACCUAUCCGUAGUUACUUUUAUCGUAGAUUAGUCCCUGAACUUCAAACCCUCGCUACUUUUUGCUUGUUUAUCCAAAUCCAGUGAAACCAACGCCAAAAUCUUCGUCUUGUUCCCCUCUAUCCAGA